UGUUAGACAUAAUACUAUUCACACCAGUGUUUUAGGAAUACACCACUAUAUACAAAAGAAUUGGCUCUAGCCCAAUAUUAUUACUCACUUCAGUAACCCACAACAUUCUCCUCCUAUUUUAUUUUCUUCAUCAUUCGGUAAUGUGACGCUCUCCAAUCUCUCCCUCUCCCUUCGUCGCCGCCGCCAGAUUUCCUCUUACAACCACCGCAAGCCAAUCCUCCUUUGACCAAUUUUUAUUCGUUUUCUUCAUCUUCUCAACUGUCUAUCUAUCUAUCAGAACAAAAUCACCAAAUGAAUAUUCUUCUUUCUCACCUAACCAUCACUGUCAAAAGCUCCAUUUUUUAACAUAUUGGAGCUAUUCCGCAGAGUUGAUUACCGGAUCUGUAAUCCUCCUCAUAAGUACUCUCUGUNNNNNNNNUCACGAUGUAGACACCGUUGUCGAUGACCACUGUGUCGGAAGUCAUCAUCGCCGCCGCGAGGGUUAUUUUUUACCUCAUUUUUUCAUAUAAGAUUGAUGCAUCAUGGGUCUUCCGAGGGUAAGUGUUACACCUUCAUUUAUAUCAUGCAUCAUGGAUAUCUUGUGAUUCCAGCAAUUUUUCUUGUUAAGUUUUCUACUUACCAAGUUAUCUUUUGAUGAAACUUUUUAAAUAAAUCAAAGGAUUUUUAUUUUUAUUUUUUUUGAAAAAUUGCAUAAAAUCUUUUUUACUUCUAAAUUAGUAUUUAAUUUUGUAUAUGUUGCACUAUAAAACAUGAAAAUAAUUCUGAUUUUUCUUCUCUAUUAUUGUUUUGCUGCGAGAUUCACUUAAGACGCGAAGCAAAGAAUGAGUUAAAACAGUUGUAAAGCGGAGGCAAUUCAAGAUUUUCUCCUCAAAG
rnacentral:lncRNA from 1 species